CCGCCUGGCAAGCGGAGAAGGAGCCCUCGUCCCGGCCGCUGCUUCCGCGCCGUGCUGCGCCCUGCCGGCCCCCUGCCGCCCCGGCAGCACCGCGGGCCGGUCCCGGUCCCCAGCGGCCCCCGCGCGCCCAGCGAGCCGCGGCCAGGCCGGGAAGAUGGCGACGCUGGGAGGCGAGUCUCCGGCUUUCCCCGCUGGCCUGGCGGCGGCCGGGGCGCUGCACCCCCAGCACCUCGGCGGGGGCGGCGGCUCGCUCGGCUACAACCUGCCGCUGAGCCGCGCGCUGGAGCGGGCGCUGGAGGAGGCGGCGCACUCCGGGGGGCUCAGCCUGAGCGCCAGGAAGCUGAAGGAGUUCCCGCGGGGCGCGCCCGGCCACGACCUCUCCGACACCGUGCGGGCAGAUCUGUCCAAGAAUAGAUUAACUGAUGUUCCUAUGGAGCUGUGCCAUUUUGUGUCACUAGAAACACUAAAUUUAUACCACAAUUGUAUUAAAAUUAUUCCAGAUGCCAUAGUGAAUUUACAAAUGCUGACUUACUUAAAUUUGAGUCGAAAUCAGCUUUCUUCUUUGCCAGCUUGCCUGUGUGGUCUUCCUCUAAAAGUCUUAAUUGCAAGUAACAAUAAGCUAGGUUCCCUUCCAGAAGAGAUAGGUCAGCUAAAACAGUUAAUGGAACUGGAUGUCAGCUGCAAUGAAAUCACAGCUUUGCCACAGCAGAUAGGCCAGUUGAAAUCUCUAAGAGAACUGAAUAUCAGAAGAAAUUACCUCAAGGUUUUACCACAAGAACUAGUAGAGCUUCCCUUGGUAAAGUUUGACUUUUCCUGCAAUAAAGUGCUCGUGAUUCCAGUUUGUUUUAGAAAGAUGGUACAGUUACAAGUAUUACUGCUUGAGAACAAUCCUCUGCAGUCUCCACCAGCACAAAUUUGUAUAAAGGGUAAAGUGCACAUAUUCAAAUAUCUCAGCAUACAGGCGUGCCAGAUUAAAACAGCAGACUCACUUUAUCUUAAUGCCAUAGAACGACCACACUUGCAGCAACCUGUGGAAGAGAGCAUUGAUGACAUAUAUCCAAGUAAGAAGGAUUCUGAUUCAGGUGUUGGCAGUGAUAACGGAGAUAAGCGUUUGUCAGCUACAGAGCCCUCUGAUGAAGAUACUGUCAGCCUUAAUGUACCAAUGUCAAACAUAAUGGAAGAAGAUCAGAUUAUAAAGGAAGAUACGGGUCACCACAUCAACCUAAUCCAAGUAGAAUUUCAUCAGGGACCUUCUCUUAUGAUUCACAAUAAGUCAAGAGAAGCAGGAAACCAGUUUGCUGAAGGAUCACAUCCCCUCACGACUGAAUUUAUGAGCUACAUCAAGGGCAGAGAGGCAGAAUGUGAUGAAUUAUUGCGAAUAGAAGAAGACACACAUUGGCAAACAGAAGGAAUAACGAAUACAUCAAAUAAGCAAAGUAUUGAUAUAGCCAUGAUAGAUCAUUUAAAAGAAGCAGUAGAUUUGCUGCAAGAUCCCAACAGAUUAAGCAUGGAUAUUACAGAGAGCAGUGGUGUGAAUCUGUAUCCCAUGGAACCAGCAACAGAUUUAGAAUUACAGGAGUCUACAGUAAAUGGCCAAAUGCAGAUGGAGGAGGCUCCUAUCUAUCAGAAUGAAAAUGCUGAGGAGGAACUAGAAUUUCAGAAGAGGAGAGAAUUGAUUAUAGAGAAAACCAAGACUGAAGCCAAACUAGCAUGUGAGCAGGAUGAGAAGCAACUACUGAGUCAGAAUGAUCUGAUUGUCUGGAAUAUAGGAGGACGCAGUUCUCACAAUGAGAGUAAGGAAAAAACUCCCACACAAUCUCCUACUACAAACAACACCGCUCCUUUUGGCCUGAAGCCACGAUCAGACCCACCCCUCACUCUUCCUCCUGUCUCCUUCAACAAACUUACACAGGCUCAAACAUGGGACAACUAUAGCUACAGUAUCCCAUCUGAAGGGGACAGUGACAAUGUAUUUUUAAGACCACAGAGAAAUUUGGAAUCCAUAGACCCUCAAUUUACAAUUCGGAGGAAAAUGGAACAGAUGAGAGAAGAGAGAGAGCUGGUGGAGCAAUUGCGUGAGAACAUUGAAAUGAGACUAAAAAUUUGUUUGCCUGAAGACUUGGGGUCUGCUCUUAUGGAUGGGGUUGUUCUCUGUCAUUUAGUCAAUCACAUUCGUCCUCGAUCUGUGGGAAGUAUCCAUGUACCCUCACCAGCAGUACCUAAACUUAGUAUGGCCAAAUGCAGGAGAAAUGUGGAAAACUUUCUGGAUGCAUGUAGGAAACUGGGUAUACCAGAGGCUGACCUCUGCUCUCCGUAUGACAUCCUGCAGUCGGAUAUUCGUCACAUGCGAAAGACUGUUGACACCCUGCUGGCCCUCGGGGAGAAAACCCCACAAUCAACUUCUACCUUUCGCUCCUGGGAUCUGAUAGGCUUUUGUCUUUUCCACAUACUUUUUAUAGUCUUGAUGUACAUAACUUAUCACUGGAAUGUGCUAACAUCAUAACCUGUUUGCAUGUGCACACAAACUUUCUGCUUUAUCUCUGACACAUUACAGGAGAAGCUCUGCCUACCACAUCACAUCCUAGAAGAAAAGGGCUUGGUAAAAGUGAGCAUAACAGUUCAAACAUUACUAGAGGUAACCACAAUGAAGCAAGCUUUAUUCACAUGAAACUACUGUUUCUGCUGUAAUCCGCUCCAGCGUGCCAUAAAAGUAUCAAAACACUGCUCAUCUUUUCAAACUGCAUUGACAAAUACCCUUCUGCUCCAAAAGAGUAUUCCUACAGUUCUGAACUGAAAUCAUCUUUCAGACUAUCUAUAUAUGUUGAACUGCAAACUAAUAAUCAUUUUAUAAAACAAACUGGCAUUUCCACUGCUUUCAUAGCUCAGUUUGUACAGUAGCUAUUAAAACAGCCACCUUUCUGCCGCUUACAUAAGUGUGGAGUACAGCUGCCUUGCAGCUAAAUAUGUUCAUCUUAUUAACGCAAGAGCAUCUUAAUUUUUUUUAAUCUGAAUUUUAACCUGUUUUGUUUUUCUGCAGUUGCUUCAGGCCAUUUUAAAAAUAUUCAGCCAUAAAAUAUUUAUAUAAAUAUUAUUUAUUAGUGAGUUGUUAUUCAUCCUUUGGAUGCAAAAUGUAAAUUAGGAAACUGUAUUUUAUUACUGCUUUUUUGUGGUUAAACACUUUAUUUUAAUAUAAAUAUUUAGUUAUUUUUUAUUCUACUUGGUGUGCAGUAAUUCUAGAUCUCCAUAAUUGUAUUUUCUAAUAUGUAUGAUAAACGGUAAACAAAAAUAGGUGCUUUCAUGAAAAGAACAGUUAGCUGGGACGGCAUUCUUUAUUUUGGGGUUUGUGGAAGAUGAGUGAUGUUGGUCUGCAUUCCAGUUAGUUUCCAACAUUCCAGCAGCACUUCCCUCUGCCCCCCAGUAGAUGAAGUUGGUUGAGCUGAAGAGAAGCACACCUUUUUAUCUGUAUAUAGCUGUUAUUAAAAAAAAAAAAAAGGAAAGAUUAAACUUGAACACACAAAUGUGAACAAAUAUUUUUGAUUGAUACUUAUUUUACUAUGCACAAGACAUUAAACUUUUAUUACAGCAAAAUAACUGAUGUGCAUUAGCGUCACGUGUCUUGAGAUAUAAUUUUGCACUGUAACUUGGGUAAUCUUAAAAGGAUACAGCACUACGGAACAAAUAAAAAAAUAGCACAAGAAAGGUGAAAAUACAAAGUUUUCUAGAUAGUCAAAUAUACGUUUGGGGUUUUUUUUUAAAAGAGAAGAGAUAAUUUCAUUGCAGUUGUUUUAGGUAGUUGUAACAGCCUAACCCUUCAAAUACGUACUGCAGGUUGCAGGGCUUACUGCUGUGAGUGCUCUCCUUGUAGUUAAUGUACUGCCGUGGGAUUACUACGCACACUGCCCUAGCGAGUGUUUGCAGGAUCAGACCCCUUGUCCCAAUUCAGCAGUAGGAAAUAAAGUUUUUUUUCAUUACUUUUAAUUUCAAAAGGAGGUUUUAAAGCUUAAUUUAUUGUUCAGUCAUUGUCAGACAGAUAUUUUAGGUAGAAAAGGUCUAGCACAGUGAUUUUCACAACCUCUUGAACAUCCUUUUUUUUUGGGGGGGGGGGCGGGGGGGGGAUGGAAAUCUCGUGAUGUAAGUAAUUUAGGCAAACAAGACAGGGAAGUUGCAUGUGGUAGAAAGGAUGGCCGUUAGGGGUCCCUGUUACAUUUAAGGAAGGAGAGUUUGAAAUUCAUUACAGCAAAAGUGAGGCAAUGUAGAGGGCAAAUUAAAGAGUGAAAGAGGCUAUGGAGAGAGAAAUCACCAUCUGUUUGAAAGAAUGUGUACACUUGUCACAAUAUUGCAUAUUCUAGGCAGAGUUACAUGCCUGUUCACACAGAGAGACACUGCAUUUAAAAAACCACGAGUAUUCCAAGGAAUUAUAUAUUUAAUCCUGAAUAUAUACUGUUUUGAAUGCAGACCUUGUGUUUUCGACAUCACAGAUGAUGGUACACAUCGACAACCAUCUGUUUGGGGGAAAAUGUGAACUCAAGGACAGUAUAAUGGCACAUACAAUAUGCAUGGAAUAUUCAGUUAUUUCAACCAAAGCAAAAGCUUUUGUUCUGUAGAGGGAACAUUGACUUACAUUGCAAUUUUGACUGGCAGCUAGCAUAUGGUUUCCUAUAAAAUAUAUUGUGCACUUUAACACUAAAUUAAAAUGUAUUUUAAUAUUUUACAGAGCUGCACAAAUACCUGUUUUGUCAAAUAGCAUGAACAAUAUAAAGAAAAUAGGUUUUCAACUCAGAGUAUAUCAAACUUUAAAAGCAUUCAGAAAUUGACUAUAUAAAUAGGAAUAUUGAUUGCUGCAUCGAGGGGUAAAAUGCAGGUUCCUGAGUAUUUUUUUUACGAUGUAUAUAUGGCAACAUGAAGUUUUGUAAUUAUUAUUUUGACAAAUCCUGGUUUUUUCAUAAUUAAAAUUUGUUUUCCUCCUAAUAGUGACUUUCCAUAUUUGCUUAAAGUUGGCUGUAAAUAGCGCUAAAUAUUUUGUAAUCUGGCUUUUUUUAUGUAGUCUUAACCUGUAUGGCUAAAAAGAAAAUCUUCAUGAAUCUUUGUACACUUUAUAUGUGCAAUAAAAAUGCAUGGCCUCCUGACAAUACCAUAAACAGUGAACGUUGUGUGUAUAUAGUGCAAACUUUACUGUGGCUGCAAUUAAAUCAUUUUAUUUGUAUUCAU